rnacentral:rRNA from 1 species
UUGGCGGGGUAACGGCCCACCAAGGCAACGAUCGGUAGGGGUUCUGAGAGGAAGGUCCCCCACAUUGGAACUGAGACACGGUCCAAACUCCUACGGGAGGCAGCAGUGAGGAAUAUUGGUCAAUGGGCGAGAGCCUGAACCAGCCAAGUAGCGUGCAGGAUGACGGCCCUAUGGGUUGUAAACUGCUUUUAUAAGGGAAUAAAGUGGGGCUCGUGAGCUCCUUUGCAUGUACCUUAUGAAUAAGGACCGGCUAAUUCCGUGCCAGCAGCCGCGGUAAUACGGAAGGUCCGGGCGUUAUCCGGAUUUAUUGGGUUUAAAGGGAGCGUAGGCCGCAGGUUAAGCGUGUUGUGAAAUGUAGGGGCUCAACCUCUGCACUGCAGCGCGAACUGGCUUGCUUGAGUACGCACAACGUGGGCGGAAUUCGUGGUGUAGCGGUGAAAUGCUUAGAUAUCACGAAGAACUCCGAUUGCGAAGGCAGCUCACGGGAGCGCAACUGACGCUGAAGCUCGAAAGUGCGGGUAUCGAACAGGAUUAGAUACCCUGGUAGUCCGCACGGUAAACGAUGGAUGCCCGCUGUUGGCUUGAAUUAGUCAGCGGCCAAGCGAAAGCAUUAAGCAUCCCACCUGGGGAGUAC